rnacentral:sRNA from 1 species
UUUGAUUGAAAAACUUGCUUAAAACGAAUUGUGUCUGAAUACGGAGCGUAGAUCUCAAGCAUUGCUCAAAAUAAGUUCUCCAUUUGUUUCUACCCUUCAAUUUGGCUUAAAGCUACCGAAAUAUUUAUCUAUCUUUCUACCUUCUCUCCGAUUUUAGUGUCAAAUUAGUGUUUGGAAAUAUCUACCCUUGACAUUUCCUGGAAAAAGUAGUGUUCCACAGGUCUAAGGUCAGAUGAAGUACCAUAGAUUUUUGUGAAGGUUUUCGGAUUCUGGGGACCGACUGCGCGCUGAGGCGAAGGCUAUCCCAAAAGGGCUUAGAUGAUUCCCUUUUCGAGUGCCAGUUUGAGUCGUUGAUUGGCUGGACUCCGUGUCAUGGGCAUCUCCCUGUAAACUGUGGUUAUCCUUCGGUGGUUGACCUUUUUCUCUCCCAAAAAACGCUGGCUAUACCCUUCAUUGGCUGGAGUAUAUCCCGACCUGAUUGGCAGUCAACGAACCCUCAUCAGGAUGCAACUUCCUUAUAAAAAAACAGCUUUUUUCUCUGGGGUUUUGCAUUCGUAUGGAUGAUUUGUGUUUCUGAUUUCGUUGAGAACAUUAUUCUUCAAUUAAUUAAAUCAGAGCACAGACCAUAAAACACUCGCAUGCAAAAGGCCACGAUAAUGAGAUGACGACGAGGGGUCAGGGGACGACAAUAAACCCGUAAACAAGGCACAGCAGAAAAGAGCAGAGAGGAAAGAACUCUGGGCUGCCAUUAAGGAAGUGCUGGAAGUACUGAAGGAGGUCCACAACGAACCAUUCCAAUACCCUUUAACGAACACCAAAAAACCACCCUUAACAGACGCAACGUUCAAUCUCGGUAAGGCACAAGGCAUGCAUUUUGUUUGGGAGGAAUAAAAGCAGUUGGAACGAGA